rnacentral:tRNA from 1 species
CGGGCCGUAGCGCAGCCUGGUAGCGCACACGUCUGGGGGGCGUGGGGUCGCUGGUUCAAAUCCAGUCGGCCCGACCA